rnacentral:rRNA from 1 species
GCGCGUCUCUUUAAACCUGAGGGUUUUGGCGGUCUUUUUUCUUUUUAAAGGAACUUGCCCUGUAAUCGAUAAUCCUCGUUUUAUUUAACUUAUUUUUAGUUUGUAUAUCGCUGUUGAUGGUAUCUUUUAGGUGGGAUAUUGGUGUAAUAUUGCUCUUAAUUUCAAGUCAAGGGGCAGCUUAUGAUUAAGGUUGAGGUGAGUUACUAUAAUGUAGUGUGAAUGUUUGAUUUAAAUUAUAACUGAGAGUGGAUUUUAUAGUAAUUAGUUAGUAGAGAUUUUUGAUGAAUGGAGUUUAGGAGAUGU